GCGGAUGUAGAUGAAUUGGUAAAUUCAUUAGUUUUCCAUACUAAUCUUUAAGGGUUCGAAUCCCUUUAUCCGCU
rnacentral:tRNA from 1 species